rnacentral:rRNA from 1 species
GUAGGGAAUAUUGGGCAAUGGAUGCAAGUCUGACCCAGCCAUCCCGCGUGCCGGAAGAAGGCCCUCAGGGUUGUAAACGGCUUUUGACGGUGAAGAAUCGACAGGAUGCGUCCUGUUUUGACGGUAGCCGUUGAAUAAGCACCGGCUAACUCCGUGCCAGCAGCCGCGGUAAUACGGAGGGUGCGAGCGUUGUCCGGAUUUAUUGGGUUUAAAGGGUGCGUAGGCUGGAAGGUCAGUCAGCGGUGAAAAGCUUUCGCUUAACGAUAGUCUUGCCGCAGAUACUUCCUUUCUUGGAUGAGGAGGAGGCCACUGGAACGGAUGGUGUAGCGGUGAAAUGCAUAGAUAUCAUCCAGAACACCGAUUGAGAAGGCAGGUGGCUGUACCUUAAUCGACGCUGAUGCACGAAAGCAUGGGGAGCAAACAGGAUUAGAUACCCCAGUAGUCC